UACAGAGACUGCAAGCGUUAUUCGGAUUCCCUGGGCGUAAAGGGUUCGCAGGCGGCCUAGUGUGUGAGGCGUGAAAGCCCGGGGCUUAACCCCGGAAUUGCACCUCAAACUACAUGGCUAGAGCAUUGGAGAGGGUAGCAGAAUUCAUGGUGUAGCAGUGAAAUGCGUAGAUAUCAUGAGGAAUACCAGAGGCGAAGGCGGCUACCUGGACAAUUGCUGACGCUCAGGCACGAAAGCGUGGGGAGCAAAAGGG
rnacentral:rRNA from 1 species